rnacentral:misc_RNA from 1 species
UAGGUGGCUGGCUCCGGCGCC